GGACUACAGGGGUAUCUAAUCCUGUUUGAUCCCCACGCUUUCGUGCCUCAGCGUCAAUGCCUGCUUAGUGAGCUGCCUUCGCAAUUGGUGUUCUAUGUCAUAUCUAUGCAUUUCACCGCUACAUGACAUAUUCCGCCCACCUCAACAGUAUUCAAGGCAAAUAGUAUCAAUGGCAGUUUCCAGGUUGAGCCUGGAGAUUUCACCACUGACUUAAAUGCCCGCCUACACACCCUUUAAACCCAGUGAAUCCGGAUAACGCUUGCACCCUCCGUAUUACCGCGGCUGCUGGCAC
rnacentral:rRNA from 2 species